rnacentral:rRNA from 1 species
GACAGAGGGUGCAAACGUUUGUUCGGAAUUACUGGGCGUAAAGCGAGUGUAGGCGGUUUCCUAAGUCGGAUGUGAAAGCCCCGGGCUCAACCCCGGGAAGUGCACUCGAAACUGGGAGGCUAGAGUAUCGGAGAGGUUGGUGGAAUUCUCGGUGUAGAGGUGAAAUUCGUAGAUAUCGAGAGGAACACCGGUGGCGAAGGCGGCCAACUGGACGAAUACUGACGCUGAGACUCGAAAGCGUGGGGAGCAAACAGG